rnacentral:rRNA from 1 species
AACGAACGCUGGCGGCAUGCCUAACACAUGCAAGUCGAACGAGACCUUCGGGUCUAGUGGCGCACGGGUGCGUAACGCGUGGGAACCCGCCCUUAGGCUCGGAAUAACUCCCCGAAAGGGGUGCUAAUACCGGAUAAUGUCUUCGGACCAAAGAUUUAUCGCCUUUGGAUGGGCCCGCGUUGGAUUAGCUAGUUGGUAGGGUAAAAGCCUACCAAGGCGACGAUCCAUAGCUGGUCUGAGAGGAUGAUCAGCCACACUGGGACUGAGACACGGCCCAGACUCCUACGGGAGGCAGCAGUGGGGAAUAUCGGACAAUGGGCGAAAGCCUGAUCCAGCAAUGCCGCGUGAGUGAUGAAGGCCUUAGGGUUGUAAAGCUCUUUUACCCGGGAUGAUAAUGACAGUACCGGGAGAAUAAGCUCCGGCUAACUCCGUG